GAUGAACGCUAGCGGGAGGCCUAACACAUGCAGGCCGAGCGGUAUUGUUUCUUCGGACAUGAGAGAGCGGCGUACGGGUGCGUAACACGUGUGCAACCUGCCUUUAUCUGGGGGAUAGCCUUUCGAAAGGAAGAUUAAUACUCCAUAAUAUAUUGAACGGCAUCGUUUAAUAUUGAAAGCUCCGGCGGAUAGAGAUGGGCACGCGCAAGAUUAGCUAGUUGGUGAGGUAACGGCUCACCAAGGCGAUGAUCUUUAGGGGGCCUGAGAGGGUGAUCCCCCACACUGGUACUGAGACACGGACCAGACUCCUACGGGAGGCAGCAGUGAGGAAUAUUGGUCAAUGGGUGCAAGCCUGAACCAGCCAUCCCGCGUGAAGGACGACUGCCCUAUGGGUUGUAAACUUCUUUUGUAUAGGGAUAAACCUACCCUCGUGAGGGUAGCUGAAGGUACUAUACGAAUAAGCACCGGCUAACUCCGUG
rnacentral:rRNA from 1 species